AAGGAAACGGAUGCAGUGAUCCACUCGUGACCCACCCCCCUUCUCUUCCCCCAAUCGUUCAAUCAUUCCUAACCCAGGUCCUCAGAGAACAGAGAUGAGAGAACUCUGAAUCAAAGAAACCCUAGCCGCCUAGCCCUCCAUUGUCGCCGCCGUUCCCAGGUCAUCAGCGCCGCCGCCAUCCCAGGUCCUCAGCACCGCUGCUUCCUCCUCUUCCCCGUGUCUGGAACCCAGUAACUCAGCAGACCUCCUCAUCUUCGCUGGCUUCUCGAACCCAGGUUAGUAGCUUAUCAUCUUCAUCUUCUCUGAAAUCUGAAUGUUUGGUCUUCAUUUCCAUCUUCUGUGACUUGUUCUCAAUGCUGUAACAAAAUACCACAUAAAAUUUAUUGUGAUCUUAGAGUAAUUCAUAAAGGAAAGAACAUGGAGAAAGGAGAAUUUGAUCCAGAAAGGUAAGUUCCACAGCAAUAGCUUCAGGUAUACUGCGAAAAAGGGGGGCAUAUUAAACCCUAAGAUAGAAUGGUUUCCAGAAUAAUAUACUAGCCCAACCCAGCAAUAGGCAAGGGAAUCAUAUGUUGGUGAUAAAGAAUCACUAUCAUGGAUUCACGACAUACAAUUGCUAGCAUGUUUACUGAAUCACAUGAUUCAAAUUGCAAAUACUAAUAUUCAAACGACUUAUGGUAGAGCAAAAUUUACAUAAAAGUGUAAAAACAUGAUAGAAAUGAAUACAGGCGUACAAACCAGCAUUUAGUUAUGUUUUGAGAGCAGAAGUUUUGCCCUAUGAUUUUACAUUAUUUUCUCCUCACUAGAUUCAGUUUUGGUUGUCAAAAAGAAACACAAAUCUUGUUGCAGUUUUCUGUUCCUGAUGUGCUUCGAUGAUCACUUGGUUGGACAGGUAACCUAGAAAAUUUAAUAAUUUCCUUCCAAAUGUCAACUUCAUUUGCAAUGGAAUGGGAUGAUAUUUUUGUCAUCCAUUUUGAUGUUCCAUUCAUAAUAUGUAUAAUGGUGCUUCUUUAUCUGGUGAAAAAGGGAUUGGCAUACUUUUUUCCAUAACUUAAAAACAUAGUAUUUAGUUAUUUUUGUUUUCUUUGCCAAUUUGCAUCAUUCUCUUUUCUAGUCAAGCGUGCUGAUACAAUAAUGAUUAUCAAUAUUUCUUCUGCUGCUAUUUGAUUUAAGUUAAAAUUUUAUACAUGUGCAAACAUCAUAUUCCAAUAACUGAUCAAGUAGAAUGCAACCCAGGUAAUUAAACCGGUAGAGAAAAGAAAUACCACAAAAGAAUAACAGCUUAUAGUGGUGGAAGAUCAGCAUCUGUAGUGGAUUCACUAAGCACAUGCUCCAGAUCUUGUAUAUUUUGUUUCAUUUCUCGAGACAAUUUGUCUUGUGCGGGGAGUUUUGCAAUGCUCGGAUAUGACAUUGUUUAUGUUACCUAUAAUUUGUGUCUUAAAUCCAGGUUAGACCAGUGAACCAGUGAACCAGUGACUAGAGCGGUUUGAUGACCGGUCCGAUUUUCAGAACCUUGAUCUAGAUUACGUAUAGAUAAAGAUUCGAUAGGCGGGUGCU